rnacentral:rRNA from 1 species
GGAAGUAAAAGUCGUAACAAGGUCUCCGUAGGUGAACCUUGCGGAGGGAUCAUUACUGAGUGAGGGCCUUCGGGCUCGACCUCCAACCCUUUGUGAACACAACUUGUUGCUUCGGGGGCGACCCUGCCGUUUCGACGGCGAGCGCCCCCGGAGGCCUUCAAACACUGCAUCUUUGCGUCGGAGUUUAAGUAAAUUAAACAAAACUUUCAACAACGGAUCUCUUGGUUCUGGCAUCGAUGAAGAACGCAGCGAAAUGCGAUAAGUAAUGUGAAUUGCAGAAUUCAGUGAAUCAUCGAAUCUUUGAACGCACAUUGCGCCCCUUGGUAUUCCGAGGGGCAUGCCUGUUCGAGCGUCAUUUCACCACUCAAGCCUCGCUUGGUAUUGGGCGCCGCGGUGUUCCGCGCGCCUCAAAGUCUCCGGCUGAGCUGUCCGUCUCUAAGCGUUGUGAUUUCAUUAAUCGCUUCGGAGCGCGGGCGGUCGCGGCCGUUAAAUCUUUCACAAGGUUGACCUCGGAUCAGGUAGGGAUACCCGCUGAACUUAAGCAUAUCAAUAAGCGGAGGAAG